rnacentral:rRNA from 1 species
UACGUAGGGGGCUAGCGUUGUCCGGAAUCAUUGGGCGUAAAGCGCGUGUAGGCGGUCCGGUAAGUCCGCUGUGAAAGUCGGGGGCUCAACCCUCGGAUGCCGGUGGAUACUGUCGGGCUUGAGUACGGAAGAGGCGAGUGGAAUUCCUGGUGUAGCGGUGAAAUGCGCAGAUAUCAGGAGGAACACCAAUUGCGAAGGCAGCUCGCUGGGACGUUACUGACGCUGAGACGCGAAAGCGUGGGAGCAACAG